rnacentral:tRNA from 1 species
GUCUCUGUGGCGCAAUUGGUUAGCGCGUCUGACUGUUAAUCAGGAGGUUGAAAGUUCGAGCCUUUCCAGGGACG